rnacentral:rRNA from 1 species
AUUGAACGCUGGCGGCAUGCUUUACACAUGCAAGUCGAACGGUAACAGCACUUCGGUGGCUGACGAGUGGCGAACGGGUGAGUAAUACAUCGGAACGUGCCUAGUAGUGGGGGAUAACUACUCGAAAGAGUAGCUAAUACCGCAUGAGAUCUAAGGAUGAAAGCAGGGGACCUUCGGGCCUUGCGCUACUAGAGCGGCUGAUGGCAGAUUAGGUAGUUGGUGGGAUAAAAGCUUACCAAGCCGACGAUCUGUAGCUGGUCUGAGAGGACGACCAGCCACACUGGGACUGAGAAACGGCCCCGACUCCGAAGGGAGGCAGCAGUGGGGAAUUUUGGACAAUGGGCGCAAGCCUGAUCCAGCAAUGCCGCGUGCAGGAUGAAGGCCUUCGGGUUGUAAACUGCUUUUGUACGGAACGAAAAGCCCUCUUCUAAUACAGGAGGGUCAUGACGGUACCGUAAGAAUAAGCACCGGCUAACUACGUG